rnacentral:rRNA from 1 species
UACGUAGGGUGCAAGCGUUGUCCGGAAUUAUUGGGCGUAAAGAGCUCGUAGGUGGCCUGUCGCGUCGGCUGUGAAAUCCCGGAGCUCAACUCCGGGUCUGCAGUCGAUACGGGCGGACUCGAGUUCGGCAGGGGAGACUGGAAUUCCUGGUGUAGCGGUGAAAUGCGCAGAUAUCAGGAGGAACACCGGUGGCGAAGGCGGGUCUCUGGGCCGAUACUGACGCUGAGGAGCGAAAGCGUGGGGAGCGAACAGG